AAUCCAUAGGUUAAUGAGGCGAACCGGGGGAACUGAAACAUCUAAGUACCCCGAGGAAAAGAAAUCAACCGAGAUUCCCCCAGUAGCGGCGAGCGAACGGGGAGGAGCCCAGAGCCUGAAUCAGCAUGUGUGUUAGUGGAAGCGUCUGGAAAGGCGCGCGAUACAGGGUGACAGCCCCGUACACAAAAGCGCAUGUGCUGUGAGCUCGAUGAGUAGGGCGGGACACGUGGUAUCCUGUCUGAAUAUGGGGGGACCAUCCUCCAAGGCUAAAUACUCCUGACUGACCGAUAGUGAACCAGUACCGUGAGGGAAAGGCGAAAAGAACCCCGGCGAGGGGAGUGAAAAAGAACCUGAAACCGUGUACGUACAAGCAGUGGGAGCACCCUUUUGGGUGUGACUGCGUACCUUUUGUAUAAUGGGUCAGCGACUUAUAUUCUGUAGCAAGGUUAACCGUAUAGGGGAGCCGCAGGGAAACCGAGUCUUAACCGGGCGUUAAGUUGCAGGGUAUAGACCCGAAACCCGGUGAUCUAGCCAUGGGCAGGUUGAAGGUUGGGUAACACUAACUGGAGGACCGAACCGACUAAUGUUGAAAAAUUAGCGGAUGACCUGUGGCUGGGGGUGAAAGGCCAAUCAAACCGGGAGAUAGCUGGUUCUCCCCGAAAGCUAUUUAGGUAGCGCCUCGUGAAUUCAUCUCCGGGGGUAGAGCACUGUUUCGGCUAGGGGGCCAUCCCGGCUUACCAACCCGAUGCAAACUGCGAAUACCGGAGAAUGUUAUCACGGGAGACACACGGCGGGUGCUAACGUCCGUCGUGAAGAGGGAAACAACCCAGACCGCCAGCUAAGGUCCCAAAGUCAUGGUUAAGUGGGAAACGAUGUGGGAAGGCCCAGACAGCCAGGAUGUUGGCUUAGAAGCAGCCAUCAUUUAAAGAAAGCGUAAUAGCUCACUGGUCGAGUCGGCCUGCGCGGAAGAUGUAACGGGGCUAAACCAU
rnacentral:rRNA from 1 species